rnacentral:tRNA from 28 species
UGGUGGAGGAUGACGGGAUCGAACCGCCGACCCCCUGCUUGUAAGGCAGGUGCUCUCCCAGCUGAGCUAAUCCUCC